ACUCAAAGGAAUAGACGGGGGCCCGCACAAGCGGUGGAGCAUGUGGUUUAAUUCGACGCAACGCGCAGAACCUUACCUAGGUUUGACAUCCCGAGAACCCUAUGGAAACAUGGGGGUGCCCCGCAAGGGGAGCUUGGAGACAGGUGCUGCAUGGCUGUCGUCAGCUCGUGUCGUGAGAUGUUGGGUUAAGUCCCGCAACGAGCGCAACCCUUGCCCUUAGUUGCCAUCAUUAAGUUGGGCACUCUAGAGGGACUGCCGGUGAUAAACCGGAGGAAGGUGGGGAUGACGUCAAGUCCUCAUGGCCUUUAUGCCUAGGGCUACACACGUGCUACAAUGGCCGGUACAAAGGGACGCGAAGUGGUGACAUGAAGCCAAUCCCAAAAAACCAGUCACAGUUCGGAUUGGAGUCUGCAACUCGACUCCAUGAAGGCGGAAUCGCUAGUAAUCGUGGAUCAGCAUGCCACGGUGAAUACGUUCCCGGGCCUUGUACACACCGCCCGU
rnacentral:rRNA from 1 species